UGACAAAAAUAAAUAAAUAAACCUGUCCAAGGACAACGAAAUUCAUCUCUGGUUCUUUUGCUUUGUUUGUAUGUGUGUGGAAAAAUGGCAGAUGCUGUAAGUUCAAUCCGUUGUUCAAUCUGUUUAGAUCCACUGAAGGAUCCUGUGACAAUUCCAUGUGGACACAGCUAUUGUAUGAGUUGUAUUAAGGACUGUUUGGAUAAGGAAGACGACAAAGGUAUCUACAGCUGCCCCAUAUGCAGACAGACCUUCCUCCAAAGGCCUGCUUUAAAUAGGAGUACAAUCCUAUCUCAAUUGGUGGAGAAUCUGAAGGAGACAAGACGCCAAGCUGCUCCUCCUGAUCAUUAUUAUGCUGCUCCUCCUGAUCAUUAUUAUGCUGGACCUGGAGAUGUGGAGUGUGAUUUCUGCACUGGAACAAAAUUCAAAGCCGUCAAGUCCUGUUUGAUGUGUCUGGCCUCUUACUGUGAGACUCAUCUUCAGCCUCACUUUGAAUCUCCUGCCUUUAAAAAGCACAAGUUGGUCAAAGCCUCUAAACAACUACAGGAGAUGAUCUGCUCUCAUCAUGACAAACUACUGGAGAUUUACUGUCGUACUGAUCAGCAGUGUAUCUGUUAUCUUUGUACAAUGGAUGAACAUAAAGGCCAUGAUACAGUCUCAGCUUUAGCAGAAAGGACUGAAAAAGAGAAACAGUUGGGGGAGAAACAUAUGAAAUCUCGGAAGAGAAUCCAGGAGAGAGAGAAGGAGAUUCAGGAGCUAAGAUGGAAUGUGGACCUUCUGAAGCACUCUGCACAGGCAGUGGUGAAGGACAGUGGGAGGAUUGUUACUGAGCUGAUACACUCCAUUAGAGCUCAGGAGAAGACUGAGGUGAGUCGCACUGAAGGACUCUUGGAACAAUUGGAGAAGGAGGUUUCUGAGAUGAGGAGGAGAGAUGUUGAGCUGAAACAGCUUUCACACAUAGAGGAUCACAUCCAUUUCCUCCAGAGUUUCCAGUCUCUGUGUGUCUCUCCUGAAUGUAAGGCUUCAACCAGCAUCAAUGUCAAUCCACACAUCUCCUUUGAGCAUGUGAAGAAAUCGGUCUCUGAAUUGAUCGAUCAACUACAGGAUGUAUUCAAGAAGGAAAUGGACAAGAUGUCUGGAAAAGGUGUCUGUCUGUUUCCAUAGCUACUACAGUUCAGACUGAACCACCUGCUGGGCCAAAGACCAGAGAGGAUUUUUUAACAUACUCCUGCCAGUUGACAUUGGAUCCCAAUACAGCAAAUCAGUUCCUGUGUCUCUCUGAGGGGAACAGAAAGGUGACAUGUAGUGAAGUGGAAAGAUUUACCUUCUAUUACCAGGUGUUAUGUAGAGAGAGUCUGACUGGACUCUGUUACUGGGAGGUAGAGUGGAGUGGGUUCUGGGUUCAUGUAGCCGUCUCAUAUAAAGAGAUGAUCAGUAAUGAUCAGUCCUGGAUUUUAUACUGCUCUACAUCAGGCUGCUGUUUCUACUACAAUAAUAACAGGACUGAUAUCCCUGUCCCCUGCUCCUCCAGAGUAGGUGUGUAUCUGGACCACAGGGCAGGAAGUCUGUCCUUCUACAGUGUCUCUGACACAAUGACCCUCCUCCACAGAGUCCAGACCACAUUCACUCAGCCACUCUAUGCUGGUUUCAGUGUUUAUAAAGGACUAUCUGUGAAGAUAUUAACACCUAUUCAGUGAUACAUCUAUCAGUCUGCUUGUCUGAAUGACUGAUUGACUGUGGCUAGAAAUUAGAAAUGAUUUUGAGAUUACAGAUUAUAUCAUAUAAAACAGUAUGAUAUACAACCCCGUUUUAACAAAAAAGUUGGGAUGCUGUGUAAAAUGUAAAAGAAAAAAAGUAUGCAAUGAUGUGCCGACAAUUUAAACUAUAUUUAAUGUAAAAUAGUACGAAGACAACAUAUCAAAUAUUGAAACCAAGAAAUGUUAUUGUUUCUUGGAAAAUA